GAGAAUUAUAUUACCCUACGGGGAGCGAACCUAGUGAAGUGAAACAUCUCAGUAGCUAGAGGAAGAGAAAUCAAACGAGAUUCCCAAAGUAGCGGCGAGCGAAAUGGGAUUAGGACAAACCCAAUGCUUGCAUUGGGGGUUGUAGGACCAUGAUAUGAGACUAAAGAGGAUAGAUGAAAUACUUGGAAAAGUGUAGCAUAGAAGGUGAAACUCCUGUAAUUAAAAUUCUCAAUAGCUCUAAUGGUAUCCUGAGUAGGUCGGAACACGUGAUAUUUUGACUGAAGCCGGGGGGACCACCCUCCAAUCCUAAAUACUACUUACAGAUCGAUAGUGAACAAGUACCGUGAGGGAAAGGUGAAAAGUACUCCAGCGAGGAGAGUGAAAUAGAACCUGAAACCAUUAGCUUACAAUCAUUCAGAGCCCUAUGAUUUAUCAGGGUGAUGGACUGCCUUUUGCAUAAUGAGCCUGCGAGUUGUGGUGUCUGGCAAGGUUAAGUCAAGUACGAAGCCGUAGCGAAAGCGA
rnacentral:rRNA from 1 species